UGGAAGGUGAUUAAAUGGCUUUUUAGCAUACACUUUUCUUUUUCUUAUUUAUUUGAGUGAGAGAGAGAGAGGAGGGCAGAGGAAGAGAGGGAGAGAGGGAAUCUUAAGCAGGCUCCACACUCAGUGCAGAGCCUGACAUGGGGAUUCCAUGACCCCGAGAUCAUGACCUGAGCCGAAAUCAAGAGCUGGGCACUCCACGGCCUGAGCCACCCAGGCGCCCUUGGAAAACACUUUUCUUAAUCAUAGUUUGCCUGUGUUUGAGUAAGUGCUUAUGUGCACGCAUAUGUAUACACACACACACACACACACACACACACACAAAGGUGCUGUGAUCCCAACUCAGUGCUCUGAAUUGGACCUGUGGCCACAAUGCUGGCUCCUUUCAUUCCAGGAAGAAGACACAUCAGAGUCUCCAACACACCGGACCUGUUACCAGCAUUCAUGUCACAAAGCUCCUGGCUCUUCCUCUGGCUGCCACACUGUGGAGGAAGUGAUGUACGAGCGACCGUGUCCACGCACAGGGGAGGUCCCAGAAACGUCAUGGGGGAAAGACUGAAAGAUCUGUUCCUCCAGCCAUUCCGUAAGGGAAUUGUUCAGCAAAAGGCUUUCUGAAUUUAUGAGAAGGGAAACGUUCAAACUGUGAGUCCAGUUUAAAUUGUUUUUGGUUUCCGGGGCGCCUGGGUGGCGCAGUCGGUUAAGCGUCCGACUUCAGCCAGGUCACGAUCUCGCGGUCCAUGGGUUCGAGCCCCGCGUCAGGCUCUGGGCUGAUGGCUCAGAGCCUGGAGCCUGUUUCCGAUUCUGUGUCUCCCUCUCUCUCUGCCCCUCCCCCGUUCAUGCUGUGUUUCUCUCUGUCCCAAAAAUAAAUAAAUGUUGAAAAAAAAAUUAAAAAAAAAU
rnacentral:lncRNA from 1 species